rnacentral:rRNA from 1 species
UACAGAGACUGCAAGCGUUACUCGGAUUCACUGGGCGUAAAGGGAGCGCAGGCGGACCGAUGUGUCGGAUGUGAAACCCCAGGGCUCAACCCUGGGACUGCGUCCGAAACUGUCGGUCUAGGGACUCGGAGGGGCUAGUGGAAUUCCUGGUGGAGCAGUGAAAUGCGUAGAUAUCAGGAGGAACACCAACGGCGAAGGCAGCUAGCUGGACGAGAUCCGACGCUCAGGCUCGAAAGUAUGGGGAGCAAACAGG